ensembl:snRNA U6 U6 spliceosomal RNA
GUGUUCACUUCAGCAGCACAUACUCUAAAAUUGGAACGAUACAGAGAAGAUUAGCAUGGCCCCUGCAAAGGAUGACAUGCAGAUUCAUGAAGGAAUCACACAGAGU